ACCCAAUAGAUACCCUGGUAGUCCUGGCCGUAAACGAUGUCGACUAGAUCGCAGUUCCUUCAAACGGAAAUUGCGGUCGAAAGCAAAAAAGUGCUAAGUCGACCGCCUGGGAAGUACGGUCGCAAGGCUAAAACUCAAAGAAAUUGACGGGGGCUCACACAAGCGGUGGAGCAUGUGGUUCAAUUCGAAGCAACGCGCAGAACCUUACCUGGGCUUGACAUGCCAGGAUUAUCCCUAUGAAAGUAGGGUAGGCCCUUCGGGGUACAACUGGUACAGGUGCUGCAUGGCUGUCGUCAGCUCGUGUCGUGAGAUGUCGGGUUAAGUCCCUUAACGAGCGAAACCUUUGCCCUUAGUUACCAGCGGGUUAUGCCGGGGACUCUAAGGGGACUGCCGGUGUCAAACCGGAGGAAGGUGGAGAUGACGUCAAGUCCUCAUGGCCUUUAUGCCCAGGGCCACACACGUGCUACAAUGGGGUGCACAAAGCGAACCGAGAGCGCAAGCUGAGGAAAUCGCACAAAUCACCCCCGAGUUCAGAUCGAGGGCUGCAAC
rnacentral:rRNA from 1 species